GGAAGAGGAAGAGGAAGAGGAAAAGGAAGAGGAAGAGGAAGAGGAAGAGGAAGAUGAUGAUAGCUAAUCUACUGAGAUCAGCUGGAGCCAGUCAUGUUGAGGCAUCACAUCCCACCCCUAAAAAUAAUCUGUGAAGAAGUACAAGAUGGAGCUGAUAAAAAGAGUGACCGAGACUGAGCCGUUGUUGGAUCCACUUUGCCAUAUUAUGGUUCUUAGUGAUCAUUCCUUUUCUGAAAUCAAAGCUUUGAUGAGUGAACUGCUGAUCUUAAUAUAGACAGUUUAUAAGACUUGUUGUGAUAGUCAAAAUUAAAUAAUUUUUUUCUCUUAAAAAUACUGAAUAUUUUUAGUACAAAUGUAGCAAUCUAACGACAAAUUCAGAUUAUUUUUAUCACUGCAAUGUUACAUUACUAAUUUGUUUUCUUCUCUGAUGUUCAAUCAGCCUCACAGCUGUUUUGUCUCUAUGCAAUACUUUGGAUUUUGAUUUUAAGAAUAAAAUCUCAAUUUCAUGUGGAUCAACUGAAGUUUUUUUUUUUUUUUUUUAUUUCAGAUUAAAAUGCAUUUUCACAUUUAAUCAGAAUUACAUUUUGAUGUUCAUUUUUGUUCAGUUUCCCUGUAUAAUCCAUGCAUCUAUUUUCCUAACUCGUUGAAUCUCUUUUGUGUUGCUGGAGCCUAUCCUUGCUGAUGGCUGAAGGUUCCAUAUUGUUACAAUUAAACUACACUGCUCCGAAAAAUCAAGGGAACACCUAAACGACUCAAUGUUACUCCAAGUCAAUCUCACUUCUGUCUAAUCAUUUAGGAAACAACACUGACUGACCAUCAAUUUCACAUGUUUUUGUGAAAUUGGAAGAGACAACUGGUGGUAAUAACAGGCGAUCAGCGAUACACCUCCAAUAAAUGAGUGGUACUACAAGUGGUAGUGCGGUCAAAAACCCUUUGCCCUUCCGGCCAAAACACUUGACAAACACUGUGACGUCUUCCCUUAAAUACAGAAUCCCCCUACUGGGAGGAAGUUGAACUACAAUCACAUUUCAUGGUUCCUAUAGUCCAUCAUGACUGGUUUGUCAUUGUUUGGGUGGCAUUUUGUGACAGGGUGAACUGUUUUAUCUUGUUUAAAAUUCUGAGGGCCUCUGAAUGCGCCAUCACCAUGGCUGAAAAUUAGGCACAGGUGUGUCUAAUUGGAGAAGGAUUUGGAAAAUGACCUGAGCAGUAGAGACACAGGUAACAAGGGAGUGGCCCUCAGAAGUUGGGGACGCUCCAGCUGUCAGAGCCGCCCCCGAUAACGUUGGAGAACGCUGCUGAUAAAGGCACCAAAGAAUGGCUAAUUUUUGAUAGUACUCUUUUUAUAGUAGGCUUUGUACUUUACUGCCACCUUCUGUUCUGGAAUGUUUUAGAUUUGCUAUCACAACCAAUUACAAUUACAAUUUCUUUGGAGGGCUGCAGAGUGCUCCAUGUGCUCACAAGUGGUACUCUGAUUGCCAAUUGGUACCAAGGUGGGAUUCUCAGACCCCUUGUGAGACCAUAUCCUGAUGUGAUUGGCCCUUGGUUCCGAUUGGCCGUGGAAGACUAUGCCAGACCUCAUGAUGCUGGAGUGAGUCACCAGUUUCUGCUAGGUGAAGACCUAAAUCCACUUGAGCACAUCUGGGACAUCAUUCUCGGUCCAUCCACCAACUCCAGGUUGUAUCAUAGAUUGUCCAGGGGUUGGCUGAUGUUUUGGUCCAGGCUUGGAAGAAAAUUUCCCAGGAGACCAUCCUCCGCCUCAUCCGAAUCAUACCCAGGCGUUGCAGGAAAGUCAUGUGAGCAUGUGGAGGCCACGCCCACUAUUGAGCCUCAUUUUGACUUGAUUUAAAGACAUGGAAACAGUUGGAUCAGCCUGCUAUGAGAGGAAAACUAUAAAAUCAUUAUACGUCUUUUCUAUUGUCUUGCUGUUGUAAUAAACUGCAGAAUAAAGUUUGUCGAUAUCCACAAUGA